UACGGGGGGGGCAAGCGUUGUUCGGAAUUACUGGGCGUAAAGGGCUCGUAGGUGGCCAACUAAGUCAGACGUGAAAUCCCUCAGCUUAACUGGGGAACUGCGUCUGAUACUGGAUGGCUUGAGUUUGGGAGAGGGAUACGGAAUUCCAGGUGUAGCGGUGAAAUGCGUAGAUAUCUGGAGGAACACCGGUGGCGAAGGCGGCAUCCUGGACCAACACUGACACUGAGGAGCGAAAGCCAGGGGAGCAAACGGG
rnacentral:rRNA from 1 species